rnacentral:rRNA from 1 species
GACGAACGCUGGCGGCGUGCUUAACACAUGCAAGUCGUACGGAAAGGCCCUGCUUUUGUGGGGUGCUCGAGUGGCGAACGGGUGAGUAACACGUGAGUAACCUGCCCUUGACUUUGGGAUAACUUCAGGAAACUGGGGCUAAUACCGGAUAGGAGCUCCUGCUGCAGGGUGGGGGUUGGAAAGUUUCGGCGGUUGGGGAUGGACUCGCGGCUUAUCAGCUUGUUGGUGGGGUAGUGGCUUACCAAGGCUUUGACGGGUAGCCGGCCUGAGAGGGUGACCGGCCACAUUGGGACUGAGAUACGGCCCAGACUCCUACGGGAGGCAGCAGUGGGGAAUAUUGCACAAUGGGCGGAAGCCUGAUGCAGCAACGCCGCGUGCGGGAUGACGGCCUUCGGGUUGUAAACCGCUUUCGCCUGUGACGAAGCGUGAGUGACGGUAAUGGGUAAAGAAGCACCGGCUAACUACGUG